AAUAUUGUACAAUGGGGGCAACCCUGAUCCAGCCAUGCCGCGUGUGUGAAGAAGGNCUNNGGAUUNUNAAGCCCUUUAAGUUGNNNNNGUGGGCUUUAGGCUAAUACUGUGAAGUUUCGGCGUGAACAACAGAAUAAGCACUGGCUAACUCUUGGCCAGCAGCCGCGGUAAUACAGAGGGUGCAAGCGUUAAUCGGAAUUACUGGGCGUAAAGCGCGCGUAGGUGGUUCAGUAAGAUGGGUGUGAAAUCCCCGGGCUUAACCUGGGAACUGCUUUCAUAACUGCUGAGCUAGAGUACGGUAGAGGGUAGUGGAAUUUCCUGUGUAGCGGUGAAAUGCGUAGAUAUAGGAAGGAACACCAGUGGCGAAGGCGACUACCUGGACUGAUACUGACACUGAGGUGCGAAAGCGUGGGGAGCAAAC
rnacentral:rRNA from 1 species